UGAAAUAUUAAGAAGGAAAAAGGGAGGAGAAAACAUCAUCAUCUUCUUCAUCCAAGCUUCAACUACCAUAGCCAAUUCCUUAACUAAAGUCUUCAAACAUUCGGGUUUCAAAGUGGAAUUUGGGGGAAAUCAUCCAAAGUUAUUCCUAAGGGUUUGUAACCACUUUGAGUUGCAGAUUAGUGUGGACUCCAGUAGCCGAUGAGUUCUGAACAGGAUGGAAGUGGAUGUCGAUGUUGUAAGUUUAGCCUGUGCACUUAGAGUGAAGUUUGUCAAAGAGGUGAUAGAAUUCACUCUAGGUGUGGCGGUAGCACCCAGUUUUCUGCUGAUAAGAUGAGUGGAUGAUCAUCAAGAAGGUGGGGCUUUGUGAGCUUGCUUGAGGCUUGUUGGAGUAGGAAAAAGCUCUUGAGGUAUGGAGUAGUCUGAGCGCGAGCGCGUUAGAUGCUUAUCUAUGAGGACGCUUAGACUAGUUUGAUGAUGUUUAGACUUUGGUUGUUGGGCCUGUGUGCCUUUGAGAUAUUAUUAUACUCUUGAUUAGUGGUUUGGGUACUUUUUAUGAUUGCGGAUUAUGACUUGAGGAUUUUAUUUCGGUUUAUAUAUAUGGCAGCUUAGUUCGUCUUUA